AAUCAACGCUGGCGGCGUGCCUCAGACAUGCAAGUCGAACGAUUAAAGCUCUCUUCGGAGAGUGUAUAGAGUGGCGCACGGGUGAGUAACACGUAAGUAAUCUACCCUCGAGUGGGGAAUAACGUCCGGAAACGGACGCUAAUACCGCAUAAUGCAGCGGCACCGCAAGGUGACAGUUAGUUAAAGAUUUAUCGCUUGAGGAGGAGCUUGCGGCAGAUUAGCUAGUUGGUAAGGUAAUGGCUUACCAAGGCUACGAUCUGUAACCGGUCUAAGAGGACGGUCGGUCACACUGACACUGAAUAACGGGUCAGACUCC
rnacentral:rRNA from 1 species